rnacentral:rRNA from 1 species
UAAUACGGAGGGUGCAAGCGUUAAUCGGAAUUACUGGGCGUAAAGCGCACGCAGGCGGUUUGUUAAGUCAGAUGUGAAAUCCCCGGGCUCAACCUGGGAACUGCAUUUGAAACUGGCAAGCUAGAGUCUCGUAGAGGGGGGUAGAAUUCCAGGUGUAGCGGUGAAAUGCGUAGAGAUCUGGAGGAAUACCGGUGGCGAAGGCGGCCCCCUGGACGAAGACUGACGCUCAGGUGCGAAAGCGUGGGGAGCAAACAGGAUUAGAUACCCUGGUAGUCCACGCUGUAAACGAUGUCGAUUUGGAGGUUGUGCCCUUGAGGCGUGGCUUCCGGAGCUAACGCGUUAAAUCGACCGCCUGGGGAGUACGGCCGCAAGGCUA